rnacentral:lncRNA from 1 species
GAACAACCUAAUGUCUUUAUUACAUGACCAGUUAGUUACAGUAACAGAACAACCUAAUGUCUUUAUUACAUGACCAGUUAGUUACAGUAACAGAACAAGCUCAUGUCAAGGUGCUUGGUUUGGUGUAGAGGUAUUUUGUUUAAUCUGUGUCUGAUAUAUUUCAAUUGAGACUAUAUGACUGUUUGCUUUACAAUAUACCAGGUUCCUGGUUCUAUAUUGCGGAAGUCCUGAGUUGAAUGUAUGUUUUGUUUCUACACAUUCUAUUGCAGUGAUAUCUCUGGGAGCUGAAACACAAAGCUAUUCUCCAUUGUCUUUACUCUGGAUGUUGUAUCUUAAGUGUUGUGGUGCUGUACUAGAGACUCUAGUGUAAUUCACAUUUAGCAGAACUAUAAAAAGUCAAACGCAAUGCUUUCAUUGCGUGGACACUUACACACACACACCGUUUGUCGUGCGCCGGCAUAACAGAUACGACGUAGACAAAUUGUUAAACGAGCGUCCACAUAAGUACAGAAAGUCUAUUGGUCCAUCACACCAGGCCCUGAGAGACUCCUGUCCGGGGGGUGUACUUGUACAUCAAGCUGCCUCACGGCUCCUAUGAAGCCUUGGCUCGUGCACGGCUACUUACUUACUAUAGCCACCAUGUCCAAGUAAACACACACUAAUCAAAGGGAUAGAACAACUGUGUUCCUGCAUUGAACCUGUAGAACACUGUGCUUAGAAUCCAUCCAUAAUGACUAUUACAGUUUGAGGGUUUUUCAGGCUGGCUUUUUGUUUGUUUAUCUUUUCCCUGCUAAUGAAGGAAAGAGCCGGUCAACCAGAGGCCUGGGGUCGUGUUCACUAGGCACCAAACGGAAGCAAGGGGCAGAAACGGACUAACCUGAACUCGUACAAUAAAAAAAAAGCUUGUUUUUGUGUCCUGUUGCAAAGUGUUUUUGCACUGUUGUGCUACGGUGUGCACUAAUGAAUAUGACCCCGUUGGAGUUCAACAGUACACAGUGGGCACCACCAGUGUUAUAGUGUACAGGGAAAUAGUCUAUUAAAGCUAAUCACUAAGGCCUUCUCAGAAUAGGUUUCCUGUGCUGUUGUUCUCUGUUUGGGGUCUCGGGAGUGUGUGAGUGUGUGUGUUUGUGUGUGAGAGAGAUGGGAGAUAGGAAUGAGAGCAACAGAGAGAAAGAAACAAACAAAUAAAGAGGGAGAUAAACGUGUUGCGAUUUCAGGGAAACUGAAAAACUGUGAUGUCAUCGGAGUCAAAUGAUCAUUGUGUUCUCUAUGGGGAUUUCAAAAGGCAUAUUCUACAUGUAUUUGUAGACAAAAGUACUUGGCAUUAAAAUGAACAUUUAAGAUCAUUAAUUAAAGAGAAAACUAUUUGACUUGUCUUCACUAAUUACAUUUUUGUUUUUAUGAAGUAGAACAAAUGUUAGGUGAAAAGAGCAUGGAUUUUAAUUAAAUGUCGUUGUGUCUGUUUGUGGUGGUCCUUAAUAGACUGAGUUAGAAACCUCUGGAUGGUAUGUCAGCAAAACGCAACCACCCCACCCACACACACACACACACACCCUAAACCAAAACACACACACGCACACACCCUAAACCAAAACACACCCACACACUUUGAGCAGUAUUUUGGACUCUCAUCCCAUAAUUCCCAGGUGUAGAUAUCUGACAGACAGCCCUACAGCCCUCCUCCUCCUUCUCCUCCGGUUCUCUCUCUCCCCCCUCCUGACAGACA